AUGCAAUCCGGGCCCUCCGUGUCUCCCUCCGUGUCUCUGCUGGUCUCUGGAGACUCCUCCGCUCUGCUCUGCCUGCUCAGCUCUUACUCUCCAAAGGGGGCGACGGUGAGCUGGACGCUGGACGGGUCAGAGGUCACCGAGGGGAUUCAGACCAGCGCAGAGAGCGAGCGGGACGGUCUCUACAGUCGCAGCAGCGUCCUGAGCCUCAGCAAAGCACGCUGGGAAGGCGCAGGGCACUUGGUCUGCAGAGGAACACAUGCCGGAGCUGCUCACGAGGCCCCGUUCCUCAAGAGCUCCGACUGCUGA